rnacentral:misc_RNA from 1 species
AAAUCUCAACCUUCUCGGUUUUCUUCUGGACACUGAAGGAGGCUUGGACUUUGGAGGCCUUUGCUGGCAUCUCUCUCUUUUUGAGAGCCAGCUCCUCUUAAAUGAAUUAGCAGGGUCCUCUUUGCCGAUCCUCGACAUGUGAUAAGAUGUUUCCAUGACUUGGUUUCUGGCUCUGUUGCCUUUGGGACCUGCUUCUAACCGUCUCAAAUGAGACAACGGUUUGGGUGUGUCUCCCUCCUCGGGGAAACACUCUCAACCCCACUGAC